rnacentral:hammerhead_ribozyme from 1 species
AUCCAAUUGAUGAGUCCAAAAUAAGACGAACUGCGCAUCCUGGAU